UGACAACCACCAAACCCAGACUGGUCCAUCAGAUUGCCAGAUGGAGAAGCGUGAUUGGUCACUCCAGAGAAGGCGUCUCCACUGCUCUAGAGUCCAGUGGUGGCUGCUUUACACCACUGCAUCCCACGCUUUGCAUUGCACUUGGUGAUGUAUGGCUUGGAUGCAGCUGCUCGGCCAUGGAAACCCAUUCCAUGAAGCUCUCUGCUGAAGCACUGUUCUGGAGCUAAUCUGAAGGCCACAUGAAGUUUGAAGGUCUGUAGCGAUGGACUCUGCAGAAAGUUGGCCACCUCUUCGCACUAUGCUCCUCAGCAUCCACUGACCCUGCUCCAUCAGUUUACGUGGCCUACCACUUGGUGGCUGAGUUGCUGUCGUUCCCACACACUUCCACUUUCUUAUAAUACAGCUGACAGUUGACUGUGGAAUAUUUAGGAGCCAGGAAAUGUCACAACUGGAUUUGUUGCACAGGUGGCAUCCUAUCACAGUUCCACGCUGGAAUUCACUGAGCUCCUGAGAGUGAGCCAUUAUUUCACAAAUGUUUGUAAAAGCAGUCUGCAGCCUAGGUGCUGGAUUUUAUACACCUGUGGACAUGGAAGUGAUUGGAACACCUGAUUCUGAUUAUUUGGAUGGGUGAGCCAAUACUUUUGGCAAUAUAGUGUAUAUCAGUAAAACUUCUAAAAUUUUCUUUAAGAACAUUUUUUUUAAACAUUUCUUUCUUCCACCAAAAAAUGUUCAAAAAUUUCCCAAAAAUGUUGACAAUGUGGACAUCAGAAGUUUCAAUGUGAAAAUCUAUUUUUUCCACAUUUUUAAACUUUAAAACGGGUCAAUUUGACCUGCAGGACGACACGAGGGUUAAGAACUUUUAUCUUUAAAUCCGUCGGCUGUCCUCUGUUCUCUGGUUUAUACUCAGACUAUUAUCUAUUAAACAUCCUUUAGUCUGAAUCUUUCUGUUUCUUGAGUCCUGAACUCAUUCACUGAUGUUUUAUUUCUGAUUUUAUUUCAUCUUUUGGUCUUUUUUUUCAUCUUUUCUGUCGUUUUUCCACAAACAUUUCCAGCUGCCAGUUGAUUUUCUGCUUGUGUUUGAUGAGGAACUGGAUUUAUUUUAAUUUUUCCAGCGUCAGUUGACCAGAAUAAAGAUUAAAAUCUUUAUUUAAGCUCAACACACCUGAAGGAUCGGCUGAUUGGUCUAAAUGUUGCUCUAGAACUCCUCGUUACUUCAGUGUUCUCCUAGGAGAACCAAACUUUGAGGCAUUUCUCUGCUUGCUGUGACGGUAAACUGGAUGUUUUAAUGUUCCGACUGAUGUUUCCAUGAAGCUGCUGUACUGAACUCUUCUAACAGGAAGUCCAGAAAUAACACAAAUAAUCUGUUUAUUUAUAACACGUCUCGACUGGUUCCUCGUUCUGAAACGUUCCUCUUUGGUUCUAAAUCUGUCCUCAGAUGGUUUAUUAUUAUUAUUAUUAGUGGUAGUAGUAUUAAUCUCUCAGCAUCUACAGAGAACUAGAACCAGAAUGUCAGUCUAACGAGCGACAAGAAAUAAACUGGGUCAGCAGGCUUUACCCUGGAACACACACUAACACACACUUACACACACUAACACACACGUAAACACACUUAGACACACUAACAAACACUAACACACAAUAAGACACACUAACACACACUAACAUACCCCCAUGAUGCUCUAGUUGUUGCCAUAGAAACCAACCAGUUGCUGUUUUUUCCGUUAAUCCUUCAUCUGCUGCUGCAAUCGACCCGUUUAUUAAUAAAACCAACAGUUAGAGUCCAGUUAGAGACCAGUUAGAUCCCAGUUAGAGUCCAGUUAGAGUCCAGUUAGAGACCAGUUAGAGACCAGUUAGAUCCCAGUUAAAGUCCAGUUAGAUCCCAGUUAGAUCCCAGUUAGAGUCCAGUUAGAGUCCAGUUAGAGUCCAGUUAGAUCCCAGUUAGAUCCCAGUUAGAGUCCAGUUAGAGACCAGUUAGAGUCCAGUUAGAGACCAGUUAGAGACCAUUUAGAGUCCAGUUAGAUCCCACUUAGAGUCCAGUUAGAGACCAGUUAAAGUCCAGUUAGAUCCCAGUUAGAGUCCAGUUAGAUCCCAGUUAGAGUCCAGUUAGAGUCCAGUUAGAGACCAGUUAGAGACCAGUUAGAUCCCAGUUAAAGUCCAGUUAGAUCCCAGUUAGAUCCCAGUUAUAGUCCAGUUAGAGUCCAGUUAGAGUCCAGUUAGAUCCCAGUUAGAUCCCAGUUAGAGUCCAGUUAGAGACCAGUUAGAGUCCAGUUAGAGACCAGUUAGAGACCAUUUAGAGUCCAGUUAGAUCCCACUUAGAGUCCAGUUAGAGUCCAGUUAGAGACCAGUUAAAGUCCAGUUAGAUCCCAGUUAGAGUCCAGUUAGAUCCCAGUUAGAGUCCAGUUAGAGACCAGUUAGAUCCCAGUUAGAGACCAGUUAGAGUCCAGUUAGAUCCCAGUGAGAGUCCAGUUAGAUCCCAGUGAGAGUCCAGUUAGGGACCAGUUAGAGUCCAGUUAGAUCCCAGUUAGAUCCCAGUUAGAGACCAGUUAGAGUCCACUUAGAGUCCAGUUAGAGUCCAGUUAGAGACCAGUUAGAGUCCAGUUAGAGACCAGUUACAGACCAGUUAGAGUCCAGUUAGAUCCCAGUUAGAUCCCGGUUAGAGUCCAGUUAGAGACCAGUUAGAUCCCAGUUAGAGUCCAGUUAGAGUCCAGUUAGAGUCCAGUUAGAGACCAGUUAGAGACCAUUUAGAGUCCAGUUAGAUCCCACUUAGAGACCAGUUAGAGUCCAGUUAGAUCCCAGUGAGAGUCCAGUUAGGGACCAGUUAGAGUCCAGUUAGAGACCAGUUAGAGACCAGUUAGAGUCCAGUUAGAUCCCAGUGAGAGUCCAGUUAGGGACCAGUUAGAGUCCAGUUAGAGACCAGUUAGAUCCCAGUUAGAGACCAGUUAGAGUCCACUUAGAGUCCAGUUAGAGUCCAGUUCGAGACCAGUUAGAGUCCAGUUAGAGACCAGUUAGAGACCAGUUAGAGUCCAGUUAGAGACCAGUUAGAGUCCAGUUACCGACCAGUUAGAGUCCAGUUAGAGUCCAGUUAGAGUCCGGUUAGAGACCGAUUAGAGUCCGGCUAGAGUCCAGUUAGAGACCAGUUAGAGACCAGUUAGAGUCCAUUUAGAGACCAGUUAGAUCCCAGUUAGAGACCAGUUAGAGACCAGUUAGAGUCCAGUUAGAGACCAGUUAGAUCCCAGUUAGAGACCAGUUAGAGACCAGUUAGAGUCCAGUUAGAGACCAGUUAGAUCCCAGUUAGAGACCAGUUAGAGUCCACAGAUAGGGGCUUUCGACCAAAGAGCACCAGGUGCUAGGUUGGUUCAAAGUUGAGAGCCAGUGCUUUUUUGGUUCAAACCUCGUGCCGCCCCAGAACGGGUUUGUGUUUCCAUUCAGAAGGAGCAAAGUUGGAGCUGCGUCAUUGCGCCACCACAAAACGUGUGUACGUACUGCGUACGUAGCCGUUCAACAGCGUUCACGCCGUAUGGAAACCCACACAACAACAAUGGAGGACUUCAUUGGAGUGGUGUUCAUGGCUUUGCUAGUGUGUCUCGCCAUCGCUGAACAACAAAACCUUCUGUUAGGGGUUACCCAUCGGCGUCGCCGUUCCAAUGCCCAGCGAUCACGUUUGAGAAGAAAGAUGUUUUUAGAUGUCACCCCGCCCUCUGCCCGUGACGUGCUCGGCUCUCAACUCUGGCCACCUCUGGCCCAGCAACGAGUUGGUGCCCGAAACGGCCCCAGUUUUUGGAGCCCGGAGCCGCAGCUCCGGUGGUCGAAACACAAAAAACCGGCGCCAAGUCGGGCGCCGGCUCCAACGCCGAACGGGCUCCACCCCGGUCGAAAAGAGGGUUUAGAGUCCAGUUAGAGUCCACUUAGAGUCCAGUUAGAGUCCAGUUAGAGACCAGUUCGAGUCCAGUUACAGACCAGUUACAGACCAGUUAGAGUCCAGUUAGAGACCAGUUAGAGUCCAGUUACCGACCAGUUAGAGUCCAGUUACCGACCAGUUAGAGUCCAGCUCUUUGAUUCAUUGAUUCUUUAGUUCUUUAGUUCUGUGGUUCUUUAGUUCUAUGGUUCUGUGGUUCUUUAAUUCUAUGGUUCUGUAGUUCUUUAGUUCUGUGAUUCUGUGGUUCUUUAGUUCUGUGGUUCUGUAGUUCUGCUCAUUGCGAGUUCUGGGUUCUAAUGUUCUAAAUCAUCUCCAGACUGUCAUUAUUUCAUCUGAUUAUUAAUAAACUAAACAUCUGUUUAGAUUUUCUACUACUACUGUCUGUCUGUAGGUUCUGGUUCUCCAGGUUCCUUCAGUCUGUAGGUUCUGGUUCUGCUGGUUCCCUCCGUCUGUAGGUUCUGGUUCUGCUGGUUCCUUCAGUCUGUAGGUUCUGGUUCUGCUGGUUCCCUCCGUCUGUAGGUUCUGGUUCUGCUGGUUCCUUCAGUUUGUAGGUUCUGGUUCUGCUGAUUCCUUCCAUCUGUAGGUUCUGGUUCUUGUUCUACUGGUUCCUUCCAUCUGUAGGUUCUGGUUCUGCUGGUUCCUUCAGUCUGUAGGUUCUUCAGGUUCCUUCAGUCUGUAGGUUCUGGUUCUGUAGGUUUAAGUCUUACUUUUAUUAAACUGACCUGAGAACAUCUCUAUGGUUCUGUAGAUGUUCUCCAGCACCACGUGUAGAACUCUAACUUUGGUAAAGCAGAACUAAAGCAGAAGAACGUUGAGGUUUGUUGGAGAGAAACCAGUUUAAUGAUGUUCUCAGAGUGUGGAGAAGAACUGGACGGUUCCAGACCGUUCAUGUGGGACGUCACUAAUUAGACGUUCUCGGUUCUGGAUGUUCUUCCAAGUUCCUGCUGCCAGAUAAUCAUAAAGGAGCCUCAGAGCCCAUCUGGUCCUGUUCUCCUGGCCCAGCUUCACACUCUCAGAGAAGAUCUGACCAGAGCAGAAAUGUUCCAGAUGGAGAACACAGAACAUUGUGACUGUUUGGUUUAAAACUGAGCUGAUGGGUUCUAGGUUCUUCCAGAUGGUUGUGAUGUUUGAGGAUCAUUGAUUACUGAUCAGCUUCAGAGAGAAUCCUUUAUUUAAACCAUUUAUCAGCCAGAAGCUCCAAACUCUGAAGGAAACAUCUGAGCUUCAGGUUUCUGAAACCUGAAGGAAUUCUGUGUUUUCUGACAGUUCAGUCAGAAAAAUGAACGAUAUCUGAUUAGAAUCACUUCAUUCUACUUUUAUUCACUCAAAACGAACCAAAAAUGAACAGAUUGGACCUGAUUCUGUUAAAAACUAAAACAUCUACAGAGAGACUGAGAAGAGAACCAGGAAAUAAACGCAGCAGAACCAGAGAACAGAGGAGCAGGUUGUUGGAGAUCCAUCCAGCAUGGAGGAACAUCUACUGAUAAUGAGCAGAGUAGAGAGGAAACAUGGAGAUAGAAAAACAUCUACAGGAUGAGGAGAUGAAACCACCAGAGAGAGACACAAAAUGACAAAAAUGAGACAUGUAUUUUUGUUACAUUUUUACUGUAUUUUUACUAUUUUUUUUCUAUAUUUUUACUGUAUUUUGCUGUAUUUUAUUACGCUACCAUUCAAAAGUCUGGGGCCACUUAGAAAUGUUCUUAUUUUUGAAAGAAAAGCAUUUUUUUCAAUGAAUAUAGCAUUAAAUGAAUGAUAAAUCCAGUGUAGACAUUGUUAAUGUGGUAAAUGACUAUUCUAGCUGGAAACAGCUGAUUUUUAAUGGAAUAUCUCCAUAGAGGUACAGAGGAACAUUUCCAGCAACCAUCACUCCUGUGUUCUAAUGCUACAUUGUGUUAGCUAAUGGUGUUGAAAGGCUCAUUGAUGAUUAGAAAACCCUUGUGCAGUUAUGUUAGCACAUGAAUAAAAGUGGGAGUUUUCAUGGAAAACAUGGAAUUGUCUGGAUGAACCCAAACUUUUGAACAGUAGUAUAUUGUGAAGCAUUUUGGACAAUUUUUGAGUCCGUUUCAAGGUAUUUUAGACCAGUUUAGAGUCAGAUUGGACAUUUUUCCCGUUUUGCAGUGAGUUUUGAUUUUUUUUUGUCAUUUUGGACAAACUUUGAGUAAUUCUAGAUGAGUUUUUAAUCAAUUUACACAAGUUUCAAGUUAUUUGGGACAAUUAUGAGUCACUGGAUGAUCUCAGAGCCGUUUUAGACCAUUUUUGACAUAGUUUGGUGAUGUUUUAGUCAUUUUGGACAAGUACUGAAUCAUUUAGGACAACGUUGGAGUCAUUUCAGACAACCUGGACAGGUUUUAAGUUCUUUGGGACCAUGUCUUUGAUGUUUCAGACUAGUUAUUAUCAUUUAAACAAAAGCUGAGUCGUUGUGGACUUUCCAUUGUUCUGACAUGUUAUUUAUGAAAAAUGAGUGACUUCUCCUCACUGAGAGCUAAAGACCACCAUCACAUCACACUAAAUACCGAUAGAAAUGAUUAAUAAUAGAGUUAAUAAUGAGUUAUAAACAAUGUUGGGAUUUUUUGGUUUCUAAACAUCAUGAAUGUUCCUGAGAAACUAACAGGAGCUUCAAUGGUUGAACUUCACACGAUUAGUUCCAAAUCUGCUGAUAAUCUGGACGUUGUGUCUGAUAAAUGGUGUGAUUUAGUGUUUUUUAUUUAUGGACAUCAUGACUCUAGAGUGUUCCAGAGAGUUCCAGUGGUCCUCAGCUGGUUCUUCAUCUCCUUCUGGUAUCUGGGUCGCUGCUGGGGCCGCCGGAGGCUCUCUGGUCUUCAGGACUGGAACUGUGGAUUAAACUGGGACAAUCCGAAGGUUUCUGACAUGAUGAACCUGAAGUGACGUUAUCGGUUCUCUGAAGCAGAGCUGGUUCUGUUCUGACCCACUUAGAGCUCCCUGCUGCUGAUUAUUCCUGUAAUCUGUCUGAUCUGAGUCCAGCGGUCGGUGGAUUAUUUCAGAUUAAACUCAGUGUUUAGGUAUUAAAGCUGGAGGACAGUUCAGGGACAGAACAAACUGAAUCACACGAUGAGUUUAACGAUCUGAAAUCAGGAUGACAUUCUGCUACAAUCUGAGAUUAGCUUCUUUCCUCAUCACAUUUCUGGUUCUCUUCAGGAACCUCAGAUUAGAAUUGAGACUUUGGAACUGAGUCGAUGCUAAAACAGAGAAUCCAACAGUCCUUGUUUUUACCUGAACAGGUGGCAUGAACUACCUCAUCUUUAGGCUAAUGUAGCAGCUAGCAUUAUCUUGUUUAGGCUAUCAUUAGCUUGUUUAUACUGAUAUAGCAGUUAGUGUUAUCUUGUGCCAGCUAAUGUAGCAGCUAGCAUUAGCUUGUUUAAGCUAAAGUAGUGCCUGACAUCACCUUUUUAGGCUAGCAUUAUCUUGUUUAGGCUAGUGAAGCAUCUAAUGUUAACUUGUUUCAGCUAAUGUAGUGAAUAGCAUUAUCUUGUUUAGGCUAUCUUGAGCUUGUUUACAUUGAUAUAGCAGCUAGUGUUGUCUUGUGUCAGCUAAUGUAGCAGCUAGCAUUAUCUUGUUUAGGUUAUCAUUAGCUUGUUUAUACUGAUAUAGCAGUUAGUGUUAUCUUGUGCCAGCUAAUGUAGCAGCUAGCAUUAUCUUGUUCAAGCUAAAGUAGCGCCUGACGUCACCUUCUUUAGGCUAGCAAUAUCUUGUUUAGGUUAAUGAAGCAGCUAAUGUUACCUUGUUUAGGCUAAUGUAGUGACUAGCAUUAUCUUGUUUUGAUUAACAUAGCAGCUAACAUUGUCUUGGUUUGGCUAGCAAAGUGGCUAACAUUAUUUUGCUUAGACUACUGGUGUUGAAUGUUUAAACUUACAUAGGAGCUAAUGUCACCCUGUACAGGCUAACUAUGUAGCUAACAUUGUUUUUUUUUGGCUAGUCACUUGUGGUGGCUAAUGCUGUCUUAUAUGAGCUGAUGUAGCGGCUAAAACCAUCUUGUUUAGGCUAACACUAUGUUGAUGUUCUCUUUUUUUGGGCUGAUGUGGUGACUAACCGCUACAUUAGCAUAAACCUUAUUUAAGCUAACACAGCAGCUAAUGUGAUCUUGUGUAGGCUAAUGUGGCUAAUGUUACCUUGUUUAGGUUAAAGCAGCAGAUAACAUCUUGUUUUGGCAAACAUAGCAGCUAACUUUUCUUGUUGGCCUGUGUAGUCGCUGCUGUUUUCUUGUUUUGGCUAACAUAGAGGCUAACAUUAUCUUCUUUAUGCGGUAGUAACAACUAAUGUCAUUUUGUUGAAGCUAAUGUAGAGGCUAGCAUUGUUUUGUUUUGGCUGAUGUAGCAGCUAAUGUUAUAUUUUUUAGACUAGUAUAGCAGCUAAUUUUCUCUUGUUUCAGUUAACUUAACAGCUAAAGUUAUCUCGUUUGCUUUACCUUGUUAGGCUAACGAUGUUUAGGCUCAUGGAUGCAGCAGUUUAAUUGGUUCAGUACUUUGUUUAUAUUUAAAUAUCUGUGAUGAAGCGUCGUUGAAAUGAUAAGAAAACUUCCUGUUUAUGCUUUUAGCUUCUGUUUUUCUACUUUUCAACCAGCUGGACUGAGGUUAUUUGAGGUUUAUUUAGACGUAAUUAUCAGUUGUUUUUGGUGCUUUUUCACUAAAACUCCAGGAAGUGUAAUUUCCUCCCUCUGAUUAGCGUCGGUGGCUAAACAACCUGUUAGCGGCGUCAGUGUUUCCCUUCAGCUGGACUCUUCAGAAGACCUUUCAAGAACUGGUCUUCUUCAGUAGAAACCAGCUGGACUUCUCUGGUGACCCACAGUUGGUUUCUACUGAAGCUUCAUCAUCUUCACAAUCUUCAGAGUUUCGUUUAGAUCAGGAGUGUUAAAUCCAUUCUAGUCCAGGUUCCACAUCCAGUCCAGUUUGAUCUCCAGUGGACCGGACCAAUAAAACCAGUAAAACCACAGCAUUGUAACCUCUAAAUAACCACAACUCCUAAUGUUUCCUUUGUUUUACUGCAAAAAUGUUCACAUUUCAGUAAUUAUCUUUUUACUAAACAUCAUGAACAACCUGAAAUUUGUUGAGAAAACUAAGUUCAGUUUCAUCAACAUUCAGCCUCAGUUUAUCAUUUCCACAUUACAACUUCCAGAUCACAGAGUGUCGACAAAGGAACACAACAUUUAGUCACCUGGAACUGAACCAGAGAGGAUUUUAUUUUAUGAUCAAAAUUGCAAGAGUCAGACACAAAAAGAAAAAAAACAACAAAAGCAAACACAAUAUGACAAAAAUGAGACAUAAAACAACAAAAAAUGAGACAAAAAAUUUGACAAAAAACAUACAAACCAACAAAAAAAUGGACAAACGACAAAAAUGAAACAAAACAUAUCAAAAGUGGGAUACAAAACAACAAAAAAGUAGACAACACAAGUGAGACAAAAAAACUAACCGACAGAUGAUGCACAAAACAACGAAUAAAGCAAAACACAAAAUGACAAAAAUAUGAAAAAAAGCACAAGUGAGACAAAAAGGAAACAAAAACAAAAGCGAGAAACAAAAUGUCAAAAACACGAGAAACGACAAAAAAGACAAAAAAAUCCACAAAAACAAGAGAAAAUAUUACAAAAAUGAGGCACAAAAUGACAAAUUACAAAAGCGAUUACAAAAAAAUUACAAAAGUAAGAUACAAGCUGGGCUGCACAGUGGUGUAGUGGUUAGCACUUUCGCCUUGCAGCGAGAAGAUCCCUGGUUCGCGUCCCGGCUUUCCCGGGAUCUUUCUGCAUGGAGUUUGCAUGUUCUCCCUGUGCAUGCGUGGGUUUUCUCCGGGUACUCCGGCUUCCUCCCACAGUCCAAAAAUAUGCUGAGGUUAAUUGAUCAUUCUAAAUUGCCCGUAGGUGUGAAUGUGAGAGUGAUUGUUUGUCUCUGUAUGUAGCCCUGUGACAGACUGGUGACCUGUCUAGGGUGUCCCCUGCCUUCACCUGAGUCAGCUGGGAUAGACUCCAGCACCCCCCGCAACCCUAGUGAGGAUUAAGUGGUGUAUAGAUAAUGGAUGGAUGGAUGGAUGGAUGGAUGGAUGGAUGGAUGGAAGAUACAAGCUGACAAAAAAGUAGACAAAGAACACAACCGAGACAAAAAACCCACAAAACGACACAAAGAUUCACAAAACAACGAAUACAGCAAAACGCAAAAUGACAAAAAUAUGACAAAAAACACAAGUGAGACAAAAAGGAAACACAAAACAACAAAACGUGAGAGAAACGACAAGUCAGACAAAAAAAAGACAAAAAACAUCAAAAAUAAGACAAAACAUUACAAAAAAGAGACACAAAUCGACAAAAGAACAAUGAACAAUUUAGUAUUUUACUUUCUGAUCCAAACAACUUGUCAUGGUCUUGAAAUGAUUUUAAGUUCAUAGUUUUACAAAUUUACAAUCUGCAGUUAAUGUCUCCUCUGGAAUUUUUACACUUUGAGGACCGGAUUGGACCCUCUGGAGGACCGCUUCUGGCCCGCAGGCCACAUGUUGGACACCCCUGGUUCAGAUCCUGACAGAAACAAACCGUCUGCUGCCAUUCUGUGUGUUGAGGAGCUGGAGGCUGAACGCAGCAGCUGCUGGUUUAGCUGCAGCUUGUUUUUCUGCUGCUCUUCUUGUUGCCAGGCAGCUUCUUCCUUUUCACACCUUCACACAUGGACUCAUAAAAUCCAUCUCGCUGCCCUUGGCCCUUCUUCCUCCUCCUGUCUCUGGGCUCCGUCCUCCUUCCUCCUCCUGUCUCUGGGCUCCGUCCUCCUCCUUCCUCCUCCUGUCUCUGGGCUCCAUCCUCCUCCUGUCUCUGGGCUCCGUCCUCCUCCUUCCUCCUCCUGUCUCUGGGCUCCAUCCUCCUUCCUCCUCCUGUCUCUGGGCUCCGUCCUCCUUCCUCCUCCUGUCUCUGGGCUCCAUCCUCCUUCCUCCUCCUGUCUCUGGGCUCCAUCCUCCUCCUUCCUCCUCCUGUCUCUGGGCUCCAUCCUCCUUCCUCCUCCUUCCUCCUCCUUCCUCCUCCUGUCUCUGGGCUCCAUCCUCCUUUCUCCUCCUGUCUCUGGGCUCCGUCCUCCUUCCUCCUCCUUCCUCCUCCUUCCUCCUUCUGUCUCUGGGCUCCGUCCUCCUUCCUCCUCCUUCCUCCUCCUGUCUCUGGGCUCCGUCCUCCUUCCUCCUCUUUCCUCCUCCUUCCUCCUCCUGUCUCUGGGCUCCGUCCUCCUUCCUCCUCCUUUCUCCUCCUUCCUCCUCCUGUCUCUGGGCUCCGUCCUCCUCCUUCCUCCUCCUGAACAGAGGCCUCACUGCGGGCUGGAGGAUGGGAGGAGCAGCAGCAGAGUAGAAGCUCCAACAAAAGCCUGGUUUGGGGCCGUUUAGCUGCAUUCUGGAGCUUCUGUUGUCUGGUUGGACCUGCUGACCUCCUGCUGUGACCCUGGAACCACUCUGAUCUGUCCUCUAGUGACAGAUCUGUUCCUGAUUUUAUGCUGAAGUUCCAGAAGUAAGAAAACUUCAUUCUAGAUGCAGCUUACGUUUAUAUAAAUGCUAAAAACUACAGAUCCAGCAUGACAACAGGUUUUCUCUGCAGGCUUUAGAUAACGAUAAUGCUAGCUGCUGUGUUAGCCCAAACAAGCUAACGUUGGCCACUACGUUACUCUAAGCAAGCUAGCGUUAGUCACUAUGCUAGGCUAAAAUAGCCGUUUCAUUCCGCUAAGCAACAUCAUAUUAACUUCUAUGGUGACCUAAGCAAGAUAGCAUUAGCUGCUACAUGACCUAAACAACAUAACAUUUGUCUGAACAUGACAAUAUUAGCCUCUAAUUAGCCUAAACAACAUAACAUUAAUUGCUAUGUUAGCUUAAACAGAAAAGAAUUAACAAGUACAUUAGCCUAAAGGUGAUAACAUUAGUGACUACAUCAGCCUAAGCAAGAUAAAGUCAGCUUAACAAGCUAACAUUAGCCACUAAACCAAUUAAUGUUAGCCGUUGAGUUAGCCUUAAACAAGAUAACGUUACCAACACAUUGGCCUGAACAAGUUAAUAUUAGUUAUAUAGCCUCAAUUACAAAAUGCUAGCUUCAUAUAAUAACAUUUUGUGCUACACUGGAAUAGACAAAGUUAACAGUUAUGAUUUUGUAAACAAGAUAACAUUAGCUUAUCAUGAUAACAUUAGCCACUACAUCAACCUAAGCAAGAUAACAUCAGGUUAACAUGAGAGCAUUAGCUGCUACCUUAGUCUAAACAAGAUAACAUUAGCUUAUCAUGAUAACAUUAGCUGUUACGUUGGUGUAAACAAAUUAAUGUUAGCCGAUGAGUUAUCCUUAAACAAGAUAAUGUUACAAACACAUUGGCCUAAACAAGAUAACGUUAAUGACAGAGCUACAGAGCCUAAACUACUUAAUGUUAGCUGUUAAGUUAGCCUUAAACAAGAUUAAGGCUAGUUAUAGAGCUACAUAGCCUAAAUGAGAUAAUGUUAGCUUAAUAUGAUAACUUUUGCUGCUACACUGGAAUAAACAGUGUUAACAGUUAUGUUUUUGUAAACAUGAUAACGUUAGCCACCACAUUAUCCUAAUAAAGUUAAUAUUAGCUGCUAUAUUAGACUGAAUGAUAUAUUGUUAGCUUAAUAUGAUCACAUUGGAUGCUAUAUUAGCAGAAACAAGACAACGUUAGCAGUUGUGUUUUUGUUAACAAGAUAACAUUAGCUGCUAAGUCAGUCUAAACAUGAUAAUACUAGUCGCUACAUUAGCUUAAAAAAGAUAACAUUAGCAGCUACAUUAGCUGAAAAGACAUGAUAACAUUAGCUAGUACAUUAGCAUUUGUCUGAACAUAACAACAUUGGCCACUACUUUAGCCUAACAAAGUAACGUCAACUGCUGUAUUAUCUUGAACAAAACAGCAUUAGCCACCAUGUUAACCUGAACUGUAUAAUGUUAGCUACUAAGUUUGUGUUGACCGUAUCGUGCUAGCUACUAUGUUAGCCUAAGUUGUGUAAACAGGCUAACAUGAUCCUGUUUAUAACUGAAUGUUAGCCACUGUGUUAGCCUGUUAGCUGUGAAUAUAAAGUUAGAGCUGAAUCUCUGUUAGCUUGAAUUCUGUGUUCAGAUCUGGAGUUUUAUCUUUGAGCUGCUCAGAUCAGUUGGAUUGUUUAUAUGAAGACUUCUGUCUGAAACUUUCCAUCCAGAUCUUUGACUCCAACCCUGAACAUCUCUGAAUCUCCAUGUUUCAGUUGGUCUGUUCUCGUCUAUUUCUGCUGCGGUUCUGACUGACUCGUAUUAAAGGCUGCAGCCUGUUAAAUUUAAAUCCACCCUGAGAGGCACUGAGCCGCAGGAAUCCCAGUAAAGCAGCAGCUCUGAGGUUGCGGUCGUUGCAGGGAUGUGAGUUGUCUGUUUGUUGGUGGGAAUGAAGAGGUUGAAUGAUGUCCUGAGGAAUGUUUUCAUCAUGUUCUCAUCACUGAACAUUAACUUUCUCUUCCUUUAAAAGCAGCAUCAGCCUGAAACUUCACAGAGUGGCUUUACCUCCCCAUAAAGGAGGAAAAGCUGCAGAGAUUGGAUGUUUGAGCCCGUUAAUGUCCCCACAACAUGAGUAAUACCACAAACACACCCCCCCAGUGCCUCUUUGUCCUUGUCUGAAGCCUCGGCUCAGAGCCUGGAAGCGUUAAAGGGUUCAGGGUGUUUAGGGCUCCAAGCCAGAGUUCAGGAACAGCAGCUCUUUGUGGACACAGGAAGUAACGCUGCUCAGAUUCCAGACAGAAAACAGCCUCAGUUCACGACCAACCUCCAGCAGACGUUAAACCGGACGUUUAGUCAAACGUUUAGAAAACGUUUAGUGGAUCAACCUGCAGUCUGAAAAACAUCUUCAUUCAACAGUAGAACACCUUCAUCUAACAGUAGAACACCUUCAUUCAACAGUAGAACACCUUCAUCUAAAAGUAGAACACCUUCAUUCAACAGUAGAACACCUACAUCUAAAAGUAGAACACCUUCAUCUAAAAGUAGAACACCUUCAUUCAACAGUAGAACACCUUCAUCUAAAAGUAGAACACCUUCAUUCAACAGUAGAACACCUUCAUUUAACAGUAGAACUAGGGCUGGGACUUUAACGCGGUAAUUUCGAUUAAUUAAUUACAGCGAAAAUAACGCGUUAAAAAUAAUAAAGCAAUUAAUUGCACCCUCCUCAGUUCCCUCAUUUCUGGCACACCGGUAACUCUGAUGAACACUCCAGCCCAGUAGGUGGCGGUAAUGAACCUAAAGUCUGUUUGUAGCCAUGAAGAAGAAGCACAGGAAGCACUGAGUGAAGUCAGGCUCUGGUGAACAGUGAAGGAAGAUGAGAUUGAGCUUGUUGGGCAGAAAGUUUCCUUUUAAAAAUCUUCCUGAUGGCAGCUUGGAUAAAAGCCUGGUUGUGUGCAAAUUGUACAACAAAGAGUUUUCUGAUCACUGCGUCACUUCAAGCCGACGGUAUCACCUCAAUGUAAAACAUGUUGCUGUUAGCACCAGAGCUAACGUUAGCUACGAGUCAUGCUAACGGUGUAGCCAUCCCAUAAUAGACCACUUUUCUAGACAGUGCUUGAGUUUACAGAAAGUCUUUAAAUGUUGAAUAAAAUCGCUAUAAUUGCACUUAGAUUUGCAGUAAUCUGUGAAUGUAGCAGACAGAUGAAAAAUGCAGAUAAAUAGAAAUGAAACAUUUUUGUGGUUUAAGUUUUUACUCCGUCGAGGCUCUGCCUCCUUGGAGGAGGAAUAAC